UACGAAGGGGGCUAGCGUUGCUCGGAAUCACUGGGCGUAAAGCGCACGUAGGCGGCUUUCUAAGUCAGGGGUGAAAUCCUGGAGCUCAACUCCAGAACUGCCUUUGAUACUGGAGAGCUCGAGUCCGGAAGAGGUGAGUGGAACUGCGAGUGUAGAGGUGAAAUUCGUAGAUAUUCGCAAGAACACCAGUGGCGAAGGCGGACUCACUGGUCCGGUACUGACGCUGAGACGCGAAAGCGUGGGGAGCAACAGGG
rnacentral:rRNA from 1 species